UGGGAGGUCCAUAGUUGUUGCUCUUAUUGUUGUUGUUGUUUUCUGUAUAAAUUUGACUUUUUGAAUGUUUAUGUUGGCAGCUGUAGAUAUUAACUCAUUAAGAAAUGCAAUUAAUUCCAUACCCACCAGCUCUGUUUGGAGCCACAGUAGCCCUGAAUUUUUAUGGCGUGUUUUUGCCCAAGUUUGCUCAGAGGAUUUGAUUUUCUUUCUAUUAAGAGUUCUGUGAGCUGUUUAAUCAGGCAUUAUAAGCCUGAUAUUCUUUUUUUUCCUCCUUUUUUUUCCUUUAUUCCUUCUUUCAGUCUAUAUUCUCUCCUGCUCUGACCUCUUCUCCUGAUUUCCCAUGAAGUGGCUUUGCAAUUAACUCAUUUAAUUUGGCAUCUUUGGUCACCAUCACAGCAUGGGGCCAAGCAGGCUUAGUGCUAAGUCCUUCGAGCAUAUGCUAAAUGUUGUUACCAGACUGUGACCCACUGAAAAGCUUUGUUGCAUACAGGCCCCUUGUUGGUCCUGCAAGGGGGAAUUAUACCUCUAAUACAGCAAAUUCUAAGACACUCUUGCUUUCGCCAUAUCUCUAUGUUUAGACAUUUUCUUUUGUAGCACAGAUCUUGCAAUUUUUUUUCAUUGCUGUCUAGAGGAAUUGGCAGUGCCUGAAAGAGUGCUUUUUAGCAGUUAAAGAAUGAAACGGCAGGAGUAUCCAGGCCAUACUUCCUUCCUGGCACUUCACCCAGAUUUCCCUUACCUAUUCAAUACCAUUUAAUAGAGAAUUAGAUUCCCACUAGAAUUUUGUAUAACCCGUUCAGUAACUUACUGCAUCCUGUUGAGUUUCAGGCUUCUUCCAUUUUGUAUCUGGUAAGACUUCUCUAAGGAUAUGGCAGCUCUUUUCCUCAAUAAAGGAACAAAUGCUGGUUGCCAUGGUUUCCAAGAGGCAGGAACUCCAAGGUCAUUCCCUGAAAAUUCUUCACAACUGGUGCCAGCAGCGAGGAGACUCCCUCACCUCACGGAGUUGCCCUCCCUCGCCUCUAAAUGCGAUCCUCCCAUCCUCACUGGUAUGCACCUUCCCAUUUAAGCCACAAUAACACUGAUAAGAAUACGAUGUGAAAAGUCUGCAGUGUGUCUGAAAAAAAACAAAGUCAAAACCACAUUUACAAGCCGGUGGCUUCCCGAAGGCAGGAGAAGGCUGACAAAUGGACAAGCAAAUGGAAAAGAGUGCCUAAGGCAGGAAAAUACAAUUGCAGUUAUGUUAGAGAAAAAAAAAAUAUAUCAAAAGCAAGUGGUUCACAGGUUUCUCCUUCAGGUCUAGGGGUGAAAUAAAAG
rnacentral:lncRNA from 1 species